CCUGUGGUCGUCUCCCUUUUACUGUGUCGAGGUAAAACCGUCCCGCGAUAACACCUCCCCCGAGUAAAUACGAAGCAAAUCUGCUCUACCACGCAACAGAAGCAAACUCGUCAGUCACCGCCUGGUCUUCUCGAUGGAGGUGGAGGAGUAGGGGAUCCCGCCGGAUCAGAGGCGUGCGGGCACCGUGGUGGGCGUCUCCGGCAGCGACGGCGACCUGCAGCUACGGCGGGGGCGCUCGAUUUAGUGCAGCGCCAUGGACCGGUCCCUGCAGAAGUGAGAGAAGAUGAGGGAGAGAGAGAAGGAAGGAGAGGAGCAUCGAUGGUGGUUCGAGCGCUGCCGCCUCCAUCCUCGCACCAUCUUCGUCACACGCAGCCGCCUCCUUCCGCACCCCUCUUCUUCGCGCACGGCAACAGAGGCAAGUCCUGUCAGGGAAUAAUAUUAUUCAGGUAGCAUCUUUUUCGUGGAAGAGGAGUGAGAAUUUAAAGGUGCAUGCUACAUAGAAGCUUAGAUCUGUAAUCAAGCUGUGGAAGAGAAUACUGUAAGAGAUACUUCUAUAAGUAGAGACUUAUUGUUUUUCAUUCAGUUGAAGAGCUCUCCAUGCUUAAGAUCUUUUCUAGGAUAAUUGCGUCGUUAAAUAUGAAGGAUUCGCUCAUGUGCCAAAGCCAGCUCGGGGAAGCCUUCCUGGACUCCUGGUUGACCACGACAAUCACGACACGGUGAGUGGAUUUUGAAUCUUUCUUGAGCCGUCGGAUCGGAUUAGAUGUGUAUAUGGUAGUUAUGGACUGCUAACUGCUUAAUGUUGUGUUUCCUCUGUGUACUAUGGUGUGAGCUUAAGCGAGCAGAACGCCGAAGGAGGAUCUUGGGGAUGACGGAGGCAUCGACGACAACCUCAAAGGCGAGAGCUGUGCCUGAGCCCCCACAAGGACGUUGGGUGGAGGAUAUCCGGUGCCAACGGGCCGCUCAUGUAGGUGUCCGAGAUAUCGGAGCUGUCGGAGUCAACGGUCAUCGUCCGGAGACGGGUCGAUGGGGGAUGCUAUGAUGAAUUGGGUCUCUGUUAGAGGAAUGUAUUUUCUUGCAAACUAAAUUUGUUUUCUGGAACAUGUCUUCAUAUUUUAGAUUUUAGUAUAUGGCUUCAGAACUAUUCAUUGGAUAUACUUUGUUGAUUCUAGCCCGUGGAUAAGAAUAUUUUAGUCACUGGAGAGAUUGUUGAACAUGUGACAUUGAUGCAAAUCUCUGGCCACCUACGGGUGAAACUGCUUGAAGACCAAGUUUGAAUAUGUACGAGGGCAGUGAAUUUCGGCAUGCGAGUUUACUUGCAGUCCCUGACCCUAAUGUAAUCAGUCCCAGUAGUGAGGGAAAGGCACUGCCAACGAGGAUGUGGAGGAGAACAAGGUCGAGCCGGAUUGGUGAAGGGUGCUGAGGCUGGCUCUCUCUCCUCCUCGUCUUCGACAGUGUGAAGAAGAUCGAUGUUGAAAUGGACACAUGCUGCAGGAGAAGUAGAGGCGUCUUGUGAGCCUUGGGUUCUUCAUCGAUCUGUUUGUGCGUGCUCUUGGUCGCAUGCACGCCUAAGGAUCGAUGGAUGGGAGGUGGGACACGAUUUUGUGUGGACACCUCUGUAUGCUCCAAGACUUAACUCUGUUGAUUUAUGGCAUGGUGAUUGGUGAUUGAUUUCGAUUGCACGGGAAUUCUGGGGAGAGCAGUGGAAAAGCUAUGGGGAACUUGUGUGUUAACGACGCUAGCAGUGAGGGUUUCUUUUGAGCUUCUCUUCGCUUCUCCUUAAUAAUCGGACCUUCCUGCUAUGCUUAGUGAAUUUCGAUAUUUUGAUGAUGCAAGCAUUGUUGUUUCUAGUGGCUGCAAGUAUUUCCUUUGGGCACAUUUUCUUCUAGCUUAAUUAGUCAGGAUCGUUGAUUUUAUAAACAACAUUCAGACUGUUCCUUGUAUUAGCAAAAAUCAGAUAAGAAUUGAAUUAUUGUACUUAAAGACAACCUGAAUGUCUUGUGCCAUGC
rnacentral:rRNA from 1 species